UACGUAGGGACCAAGCGUUGUUCGGAUUUACUGGGCGUAAAGGGCGCGUAGGCGGCAAUUCAAGUCAUCUGUGAAAUCUCCGGGCUUAACUCGGAACGGUCAGAUGAUACUGCUUUGCUAGAGUACAGAAGGGGCAAUCGGAAUUCUCGGUGUAGCGGUGAAAUGCGUAGAUAUCGAGAGGAACACCUGCGGCGAAGGCGGGUUGCUGGGCUGAUACUGACGCUGAGGCGCGAAAGCCAGGGGAGCGAACGGG
rnacentral:rRNA from 1 species